rfam:Triticum urartu cultivar G1812 contig1200851, whole genome shotgun sequence.
UAAGUACUCCCUCCGUCCGAAAAUACUUGUCAUCAAAAUGGAUAAAAAAAGAUGUAUCUAGAACUAAAAUACAUCUAGAUACAUCCCCUUUUAUCCAUUUUGAUGACAGGUAUUUCCGGAUGGAGGGGGUAUUUG